UCGGAUGUGGUGCACGGUGCGCAUUGGCUUACAGUAAUGGGCUCCGAAUGUGUAUCCAUGUAAGCCAAAAGCCGGGGUUCGACUCCCUGCAUCCGGG